rnacentral:sRNA from 3 species
UACUGUAGGGAAGCAGUUACUGAUGGGAACUCAGUACUAAGGACGGAUAGGGCCCCUCUGGGAAGAGGCGUGACAUUAUCAGGAUGAUGCAAAGGACACCGCUCAGGGAACUAGUGACGUGCGCUAACAGGUCAGUUAGCUAUCAGGACGAUUAGGACACCGCUAGGACGGCGAAGCCAGGAUAACACUGAAGGAUUCAGUGACUAUUAAGGAAGAUGCAUGGAGCACCUUUUGUGGCCGGACUGCUACGAGUAAGACUAUAGCCCCGAUAUUUGCGU